GCUAAAAAAUGACCCUUCUAGGCUAGGGGUCGGACAGAUCGGUCAAUACAUUAUCAACGCAUUAAAAUAAUUGGUCAGUAUAUCGACAUUUCGUCAAUAUAUUAACGAAAUCCCACCAUGCCUUUAGAAACCUUGUCCCGACGUCGUUCCAGAAAACCAAGCGUUUCGGCGCUGUUCUACAUGGAAAGUGACGACCUGUUUUCACCCCAAAUCGGCUCGAAAUCAUAGGACAUAGUCUCGUUACGGUGAACCAGAUCAACCAACUGCCGGAUGCUGAUGCGGAGUCGAGCCGAUGGACCUGUUUGAGCGGGUUCGAGUGAGCGGAUGCCAGUGGAAGUUGGACGAGCAGAUUUCGGUCCGGUCCGAUCGAAUGUUGUUGAAGAAGCGGGACAGGAGCGAGGAAGGGUUGAACUGAAGCGAUUGAGGAGAUUCUUUUCCGGUUCUAAACAACCUCGGCGAGCUUUGCUCGUUCAAGCGCAUCCGGUACGAUCGCCAUUACCAGAUUCAAUCCAGUGGCGGCGGUCGAAAGAUUCCGGGAACCAACAACACGAUUUACAUUGUUUCGGCACUUGAUUGCGGAAGUUCUAAGCGGAACGCGGAGGUGCUAAAUCGUUUCGUCCCAGUUGCUGCACUUUUUCAACCAGACCUUCAAACGGUUCGCGGGAUACAUGCCAACGAGCAUGAGCAUGAGAGACCACCCAUGGUUGUCCUUCUCCGUUGCCGAACAGAACCGUAAUAUCCGUUCAGC